rnacentral:misc_RNA from 1 species
GUGAGUCAUCGAAUCUUUGAACGCACAUUGCGCCCGCCAGUAUUCUGGCGGGCANGCCUGUCCGAGCGUCAUUUCAACCCUCGAACCCCUCCGGGGGGUCGGCGUUGGGGAUCGGCCCUUUACGGGGCCGGCCCCGAAAUACAGUGGCGGUCUCGCCGCAGCCUCUCCUGCGCAGUAGUUUGCACACUCGCAUCGGGAGCGCGGCGCGUCCACAGCCGUUAAACACCCCAAACUUCUGAAAUGUUGACCUCGGAUCAGGUAGGAAUACCCGCUGAACUUAAGCAUAUCAAUAAGCGGAGG